rnacentral:rRNA from 1 species
GUUUAGACCGUCGUGAGACAGGUUAGUUUUACCCUACUGACGACCAUAGAAGAAAUGUUAUUGCGAUAGUAAUCCUGCGAAGUACGAGAGGAACCGCAGGUUCGGACAGUUGGUUGGCGCACUUGGUCGAGCGGCCAGUGGUGCGAGGCUACGUCCGGAUGAUUAUACCUGAAGGCCUCUGAAGGUAGAAUCGAUGCUGGAGGAAGGCAAUGAUACGCAGCGUCUUUUGACUCGUUUCGACGUUUUAUCUGGGUGGCUAUAACGAGACCCGUCUCGGUUAGAGAUUAAAACUCGCUCCAUCAGCGAGGGGGUUCCGGCCUUUUCGUUUCGUUUCGGACGAAUGCCUGGUCGGCGCUUCAUUCUCGAGCCGCGGUUUUCAGAGGGGAGGUUCGCUGACGGCUAUGCUGGGUAUCCGCUACGGGAAUGCCAGUCAUGCUCCGGUUCGCCUCUUUCUUUUUACCCGACUAAAGU